rnacentral:rRNA from 1 species
ACAUGCAGUCGAGCGGAACGAGUUAUCUGAACCUUCGGGGAACGAUAACGGCGUCGAGCGGCGGACGGGUGAGUAAUGCCUAGGAAAUUGCCCUGAUGUGGGGGAUAACCAUUGGAAACGAUGGCUAAUACCGCAUGAUGCCUACGGGCCAAAGAGGGGGACCUUCGGGCCUCUCGCGUCAGGAUAUGCCUAGGUGGGAUUAGCUAGUUGGUGAGGUAAGGGCUCACCAAGGCGACGAUCCCUAGCUGGUCUGAGAGGAUGAUCAGCCACACUGGAACUGAGACACGGUCCAGACUCCUACGGGAGGCAGCAGUGGGGAAUAUUGCACAAUGGGCGCAAGCCUGAUGCAGCCAUGCCGCGUGUAUGAAGAAGGCCUUCGGGUUGUAAAGUACUUUCAGUCGUGAGGAAGGCGGCGUCGUUAAUAGCGGCGUUGUUUGACGUUAGCGACAGAAGAAGCACCGGCUAACUCCGUGCCAGCAGCCGCGGUAAUACGGAGGGUGCGAGCGUUAAU